rnacentral:rRNA from 1 species
GGCGUUGAAAAUUUUCUUGCGGGAAGAUUGGAGCCGUUGGUGAGAUACCACUCUAACAAUGCUAGGAUUCUAACCCUAUACCGUUAUCCGGUUAGGGGACAGUUUCAGGUGGUCAGUUUGACUGGGGCGGUCGCCUCCUAAAAGGUAACGGAGGCGUGCAAAGGUUUCCUCAGACUGGUCGGAAAUCAGUCGUAGAGUGUAAAGGCAUAAGGAAGCUUGAUUGUGAGACCUACAAGUCGAACAAAGACGAAAGUCGGCCUUAGUGAUCCGACGGUUCCGAGUGGAAGGGCCGUCGCUCAACGGAUAAAAGUUACUCUAGGGAUAAC